rnacentral:rRNA from 1 species
GACGAACGCUGGCGGCGUGCUUAACACAUGCAAGUCGAGCGGUAAGGCCCUUUCGGGGGUACACGAGCGGCGAACGGGUGAGUAACACGUGGGUGACCUGCCCUCAGCUCUGGGAUAAGCCUGGGAAACCGGGUCUAAUACUGGAUAUGACUCCAUGACGCAUGUUGUGGGGUGGAAAGCCUUGUGCGGCUGAGGAUGGGCCCGCGGCCUAUCAGCUUGUUGGUGGGGUGANGGCCUACCAAGGCGACGACGGGUAGCCGGCCUGAGAGGGCGACCGGCCACACUGGGACUGAGACACGGCCCAGACUCCUACGGGAGGCAGCAGUGGGGAAUCUUGCGCAAUGGGCGAAAGCCUGACGCAGCGACGCCGCGUGAGGGAGUGAC